ACAAGUGAAAAACUUCAAACCCCAAGGACUUGACGGUGUCCCACCCAUACUAGAGGAGCCUGUCCUAUAACCGAUACCCCACGUUCCACCUUACCCCUUCUUGCUUUUCCCAACCUAUAUACCGCCGUCGCCAGCAUACACUGUGAAUGCACCACCGUAAGCGAAACCAUUCACGCAUAAAAACGACAGGUCAAGGUGUAGUUAAUGAAGGGGCAGUGAUGGGCUACAUUUUCUACAGUAGAAAACCCCACCGCAACAUGAAACCCUGCCUAAA
rnacentral:rRNA from 1 species